GCUGUAAUGUGUGCAUAGUUUUCAUCUGUGUCUGAUAGCAGUAUCUGUCUGUGUUUUGCAUUCAGAUCUUGCUAUCCACACAAACAUCAUGCAGCCAAAGAGUAAGUUGGGAUCAUAGUACUGGUCUAGUGUUGUCUCAUUGGACAUAAUUUACCACUGGCCAGCCUCCAAAUUCCCAUACACAG
ensembl:snoRNA SNORA23 small nucleolar RNA, H/ACA box 23